GAUGAACGCUAGCUACAGGCUUAACACAUGCAGGUCGAGGGGCUGCACGGAGAUAGCUUGCUAUCUUGGGUGGCGACCGGCGCACGGGUGAGUAACGCGUAUCCAACCUGCCCAUUACUCUGGGAUAGCCUUGCGAGAGUAAGAUUAAUACCAGAUGUUGUUAAAAACCCGCAUGAGUUUUUAACCAAAGAUUUAUUGGUAAUGGAUGGGGAUGCGUGACAUUAGGUAGUAGGUGAGGUAACGGCUCACCUAGCCGACGAUGUCUAGGGGUUCUGAGAGGAAGGUCCCCACACUGGAACUGAGACACGGUCCAGACUCCUACGGGAGGCAGCAGUGAGGAAUAUUGGUCAAUGGACGAGAGUCUGAACCAGCCAAGAAGCGUGCAGGACGACGGCCCUCUGGGUUGUAAACUGCUUUUAGUUGGGAAUAAAAAGAGGGACGUGUCCCUAAUUGUAUGUACCAUCAGAAAAAGGACCGGCUAAUUCCGUGCCAGCAGCCGCAGUAAUAC
rnacentral:rRNA from 1 species